rnacentral:rRNA from 1 species
CAGCAGCCGCGGUAACACGUAGGGUGCGAGCGUUAAUCGGAAUUACUGGGCGUAAAGCGUGCGCAGGCGGUUCGUUAAGACAGAUGUGAAAUCCCCGGGCUUAACCUGGGAACUGCAUUUGUGACUGGCGAGCUAGAGUAUGGCAGAGGGGGGUAGAAUUCCACGUGUAGCAGUGAAAUGCGUAGAGAUGUGGAGGAAUACCGAUGGCGAAGGCAGCCCCCUGGGCCAAUACUGACGCUCAUGCACGAAAGCGUGGGGAGCAAACAGGAUUAGAUACCCCAGUAGUCCCUGUCUCUUAUAC